CCGGUCCUGGUGGACUGGGAGCACGCCGGCUGGUACCUGCCGGGCUACGACCUGGCGGUCCUGUGGUCGGUCCUGGCCGACGCGCCGGGC
rnacentral:tRNA from 1 species